rnacentral:rRNA from 1 species
GACGAACGCUGGCGGCAUGCCUAACACAUGCAAGUCGAGCGAGUAGAUCCCUUCGGGGUGAAGCUAGCGGCGGACGGGUGAGUAACACGUGGGCAACCUGCCUCAUAGAGGGGAAUAGCCUUCCGAAAGGAAGAUUAAUACCGCAUAAGAUUGUAGUACCGCAUGGUAUAGCAAUUAAAGGAGUAAUCCGCUAUGAGAUGGGCCCGCGGCGCAUUAGCUAGUUGGUGAGGUAACGGCUCACCAAGGCGACGAUGCGUAGCCGACCUGAGAGGGGGACCGGCCAAACUGGGACGGAGAUACGGCCCAGACUCCUGCGGGAGGCAGCAGUGGGGAAUAUUGCACAAUGGGCGCAAGCCUGAUGCAGCGACGCCGCGUGAGGGAUGACGGCCUUCGGGUUGUAAACCUCUUUCAGUAGGGACGAAGCGCAAGUGACGGUACCUACAGAAGAAGGACCGGCCAACUACGUGCCAGCCGCCGCUGUAA